rnacentral:misc_RNA from 1 species
CUGUGUUGCUUACCAAUUGAAUGGAAUUCGAUUGUUUUCGUUUCUCUAUUCGUCCGGUUCCUUUAGGGGUGUUGGGUGGACAAUAGGCUGACCUCGUGUUCCAGGUACAUCUCGCAUUUUUGUGUGGUUACCAUGGCCCAUGGAGUUAUGCUUGCUCUCUUGGAUGCGGAUCGUUAGUUGUGGGCGAGGGGUUACGACCUCCAUUCGUCCAAGCUAUUAUGCAUUUGUCAAUUGACACGAACGACUGCUGCACUCGUCUUGGCUUUUUACAGUUGAAUGGCUGUACAAUGUCCAUGCGAGCGUCGGUGUCGUGAAGGAAUGCUACCUGGUUGAUCCUGCCAGUAGUCAUAUG